UCUUGGAAAAAUAGUCAUGAGAGAGCGAAGUGUUUCUGAAUACGGCCAUGAAUAAGAACCAAGGGUCGAGACUUUAGACCCGCCGUUCAUUGGAAGCAGCAGCUUCACCCAGUAUAAGGAAGGACACGCUGAGGUGGGGGUGAUGCUUGGCUGUGUCAUGGUGAAGGUGGUGAUGCGCGAUUUUUUCAAAUGCGUCUAUACUGCCGCCGCCUUCUCGUGACCUGUAAUCGUGGCCGCCUUUGUGGUUAAAUCAUAGUUAAGAAUCACCACAAAGGAAGUAAACGUUUAGUGACUCGUGGUCGGAGCCGAGUGGGUGGCACGCCGCUCCGUGAAGUACUGCCGUGGUCUUGUGGAUGGAAUACUUGAAUUAUUGAAAUUAUCGGCUUGCAGGCAAGGAGAUUAUGGCUGUAACACUUGCUACUUCACUACUGAACACCAAGAAGAAAAUGGUCUUGCACCAGAUGCAAACCUGUUUAUCAGAAGAAUUCACAAGUCAAGAGUGUCUGCCACCACUCUGCACUUCCUGCCGCCUGCCUUGCCUGCCUGCAAACACCUCCGCUUCACAGAGGAUAAAGCACCACAAGGCAAGCUUUG